AUGGCUUUACUUAAAAUCAUGUUGUGGUUCCCACUCCUUUAUUUUGUGUGGAACUGCUUUGAGUGAAGCUAGAGAGUGUUCCUCUCGCUAUCCUGUGCUUCUCUUUCAUGAGGCAUGUGGACGUUGGGGAACAAGAUUU
rnacentral:snoRNA from 1 species